rnacentral:lncRNA from 1 species
AUAUGUUCUUGUCUAUUGAAAACUUUGACUGAUAACCAAAUUUAAUCAUUAUAUGCUCAUUUUUAACAAUUGUAGCGAAUCACUUACCUAUGAUCAACUUUGCCAAAGCUAUCACUGAAUAUAGAACUUAGGGAAUUUAGAUAAAAAUAGUCCUUUUAUUAACAAAGACUUAUAAGACCAGGUGAUACUGGUGUUCUUUCAUUGUGGUAGCUACUUUUGAUGUUACCCCAUGAAUAUUGCAAUUAAUUAUAUUGCAAAGCAGUAUGAGGGAUAUUAAGAACUCUGGUCAACACGCAUUCAAAAUAAGAAAUAGUUAUGAUAUGUUAUCAUGUCUUUUUUUU